AGGAAAUUGGAAAGUUAAAUUUGAUAAAAAAAAGUAAAAGAAUCUGUUACUGUUACAAUUUUUACAAAAUGUUAUCCGAUAGUGCUAUUAAUUACGCGAUGCUGGCCUGAUAAAAAACGUUUGUCUUUCAUCCAAUUAAACGAGACAAUUGAUGAUCCUACGUUCUGGAAUUCGCGCGAUGGCAUCUAUCAAAAUUUUUCAUGUCUCAGCGUUUUUGUGCGCCACAAACUUUACGCAAACGAAUUAAAGGUGAGGUGUGCUUAUCUUUUAAAGAAGUUUUAGGGAUUUACGGAUGCAUAUCCUUCCGCUGUGUUAGCUGCUGUCGCAUUGCUCGAAAUCUCUUUCCGGUGAAUCCCGGCUGGUCUAUUCGUAUUUGACUGAACAUAUUACAUGCAUUUUCCUAUUCCGACCGCUAUUUGGUUGAACUCGACGAUGAGUAAUAAGGCGUAAAAAGCUAUUAGAUUGGCUGACGAGUUCUUCCGUUCCGUUCUACGCCGGUUCUAUCUGUUCCUUUUCUUGGAGAGAUCUUCGAGAGCUGAAAAGCCUCCGAUGAGAGAGAGAGAGACGGGAGCUCGAAAGACAUUUUCACGUCUUCGCAUUACGAUAUUUCUCCCGUUAUUUGAAGCGAGCGCGUUUAAAUCCAGACUCUGCUUAGUUCUCUUAUAUAAUCUCGCUCGUCUCGCUGUCAUAUACUUCCCGUGGAAUAUGUUUUACACACGCAGAGACGCAAUGAAUAAAUUAGUACGAACGCAAUCCCGAACGCAACUCCUCAAUUUUCUUUAAUUAGAAAUGUAUGGCUUUUCAUCGGUGAUCCUUCAAUUUCGAUGACGUAUGGCGACACCGGAAACUGAUGUUCACAGGAUUUACUUAUCUUACAAAAAUACAACUAAAAAAAGAAAAGGAAAGAGAACCGAAAGAUUCCGUGCGCGAGAAAAGGACGCAAAGGGUUAGCAUUACCGCGGUAAUAGACACCGGUGCGCCGCGGCGGGAAGAGCGGCGCGGUUUCGCGAAGGUGAUAGUAGUAGGGCUGACUGUACUAGCGCUGGGUGGUUGGGCGGGUAGCUGGGUGACGGUAGGUCGACCGCGCGGGGACCAGGGAAUAGCCUCCGGGUUAGGGGCUGGCGGGUCGUGGCGGGUGGUAAAGGGGCGACUCCGGCAGUCAGCGGGUUAGAGCCGCUCCGUGCGGGUGAACGCGAGUCGCGAGCGUGUACGCGCCCCUCUGCGAAAUAUCUUUAAACGGAGAGAUCUCACUCUCUCUCGCACUUGUUAUCACCAACUCCGCGAUCUCGUCCUCCUCGAGAGGUCGCGGAGAUGUGUCGUGGAUUUGAUUCGCGAUGCCCGGUUUGACCCUAUACCAGUUGUCCCAUGAUCUCGCGCGUGAACUCUCGUAUUUGUUCCCUCCUCGGGAUGACUGUCGCGACAGACGCCUCCCUGUAAACGGGCCUGCAACGAAAACUCGUAUGAAUUUUUCAAGCGCUGCUAAAUGAUUGCGGCGAGAAUGUGUUGUGCGUGUAACUGGAAUUACGGAGUGAUUGCUGACGUAAUGGAUAGAAGCUUUUAAAACCACGUGUCAUUCAAGUGUCAUUUGUGAAUUCGAGAGAUUCCCUCGAUUUCUCGAGAGGACGCUCUUUACAAUUUACAGGAUAUAUAUAUAAUAUGUGAACUUCCGAACGUGUUUGUAAAUUUUAAUAUUCUAAUUACCAUGAAAUAAUAAAGAAGAAAAACUGCUCUAAUUUUUUCAUGUAUUAAACAUAUGGUGUUAAGUGUCAGUUUUUAAAAGUGUGAAAAACAUAUAUCGUGACAGAAAAAUUAGAGCCGAUUUAUCAUCUGCCUAGUAUAGACCAUAUCAUUGAAAUAAUCAAAA